GAAGCGGCUCAAGCAACAGGAUCAUAGAGUGUGCUUUGCAGAAUAGCACAUCCAUGGUCAGCAGGCAGCCCUUGUAGCCACAGCUCUCUAUUGUUUCCAGGCCUGUUUCCAGAAUAGCAAGGGGUCUCUGGUGUGGGAGCACAAUAUGUCUGUGUACUUACUGCAGACCAGGACACUGCAUCUUUGGUUUGACUCAGAGGAAAGCUGCAAGCCCAUAAUCUCACAAAGAUGAAUGGAUGCCAGCAACACAAGGAGGUGGUCUCAUACAAAUCCACCUUGAAGAUAGCAUUUUUGUGCAUUCAAAGAGGAACUUUGAUUUCAGCAUGUACAACUUAACUCUAGACUUCCAUUUAAUUUCCCAUUGGUACUUACAUUAGUAGAUAAUGAUUCUGAAGCUCUUCCAAGAAGAUUUUUCUCCCCCCUA